rnacentral:rRNA from 1 species
CUUAAAUUGAAGAGUUUGAUCAUGGCUCAGAUUGAACGCUGGCGGCAGGCCUAACACAUGCAAGUCGAGCGGUAGCACAGAGAGCUUGCUCUCGGGUGACGAGCGGCGGACGGGUGAGUAAUGUCUGGGAAACUGCCUGAUGGAGGGGGAUAACUACUGGAAACGGUAGCUAAUACCGCAUAACGUCGCAAGACCAAAGUGGGGGACCUUCGGGCCUCAUGCCAUCAGAUGUGCCCAGAUGGGAUUAGCUAGUAGGUGGGGUAACGGCUCACCUAGGCGACGAUCCCUAGCUGGUCUGAGAGGAUGACCAGCCACACUGGAACUGAGACACGGUCCAGACUCCUACGGGAGGCAGCAGUGGGGAAUAUUGCACAAUGGGCGCAAGCCUGAUGCAGCCAUGCCGCGUGUGUGAAGAAGGCCUUCGGGUUGUAAAGCACUUUCAGCGGGGAGGAAGGCGAUAAGGUUAAUAACCUUGUCGAUUGACGUUACCCGCAGAAGAAGCACCGGCUAACUCCGUGCCAGCAGCCGCGGUAAUACGGAGGGUGCAAGCGUUAAUCGGAAUUACUGGGCGUAAAGCGCACGCAGGCGGUCUGUCAAGUCGGAUGUGAAAUCCCCGGGCUCAACCUGGGAACUGCAUUCGAAACUGGCAGGCUAGAGUCUUGUAGAGGGGGGUAGAAUUCCAGGUGUAGCGGUGAAAUGCGUAGAGAUCUGGAGGAAUACCGGUGGCGAAGGCGGCCCCCUGGACAAAGACUGACGCUCAGGUGCGAAAGCGUGGGGAGCAAACAGGAUUAGAUACCCUGGUAGUCCACGCUGUAAACGAUGUCGAUUUGGAGGUUGUGCCCUUGAGGCGUGGCUUCCGGAGCUAACGCGUUAAAUCGACCGCCUGGGGAGUACGGCCGCAAGGUUAAAACUCAAAUGAAUUGACGGGGGCCCGCACAAGCGGUGGAGCAUGUGGUUUAAUUCGAUGCAACGCGAAGAACCUUACCUGGUCUUGACAUCCACAGAACUUUCCAGAGAUGGAUUGGUGCCUUCGGGAACUGUGAGACAGGUGCUGCAUGGCUGUCGUCAGCUCGUGUUGUGAAAUGUUGGGUUAAGUCCCGCAACGAGCGCAACCCUUAUCCUUUGUUGCCAGCGGUUCGGCCGGGAACUCAAAGGAGACUGCCAGUGAUAAACUGGAGGAAGGUGGGGAUGACGUCAAGUCAUCAUGGCCCUUACGACCAGGGCUACACACGUGCUACAAUGGCAUAUACAAAGAGAAGCGACCUCGCGAGAGCAAGCGGACCUCAUAAAGUAUGUCGUAGUCCGGAUUGGAGUCUGCAACUCGACUCCAUGAAGUCGGAAUCGCUAGUAAUCGUAGAUCAGAAUGCUACGGUGAAUACGUUCCCGGGCCUUGUACACACCGCCCGUCACACCAUGGGAGUGGGUUGCAAAAGAAGUAGGUAGCUUAACCUUCGGGAGGGCGCUUACCACUUUGUGAUUCAUGACUGGGGUGAAGUCGUAACAAGGUAACCGUAGGGGAACCUGCGGUUGGAUCACCUCCUUA